UGUCUUCAGGGCGGGGCGAAAUUCCCCACCGGCAGUAAAGUCUGCGAGCCUUUCGGCUGAUUCGGUGAAAUUCCGAAACCGACGGUAUAGUCCGGAUGAAAGAAGAUG
rnacentral:ncRNA from 1 species